UACGGAGGAUGCGAGCGUUAUCCGGAUUUAUUGGGUUUAAAGGGUGCGUAGGUGGUUUCUUAAGUCAGAGGUGAAAGGCUACGGCUCAACCGUAGUAAGCCUUUGAAACUGGGAAACUUGAGUGCAGGAGAGGAGAGUGGAAUUCCUAGUGUAGCGGUGAAAUGCGUAGAUAUUAGGAGGAACACCAGUUGCGAAGGCGGCUCUCUGGACUGUAACUGACACUGAGGCACGAAAGCGUGGGGAGCAAACAGG
rnacentral:rRNA from 1 species